UGGGAAACCAAGGUCAACAAUGGGGCAAUAGAGGUCAACGAUGGGGCAAUAGUGGUCAACAAUGGGGAAACCAAGACCAGGUAUUUGGAAACCAUGGCCUUUGGCAACACGACGGCCUUCUUAGAAAUCAAGGUCAAUUUGGAGGAAAUGGUCAGGAUCAAUUUUCUAGAGGUCAUGGUCAGAUUCUUGAUGUUCCAGUUGGAGUUGUUACCAGACCUAGAAGAUAUAAAAGAUCAUUAUACAGAUCUACCAGUGAUAACAGAUGGGACAACCAAGGUAACAAUGGUGGACAGUGGUUUAAUCAAAGACAGACAACUUCCGAUUUAUGGAGAAACCAAGGUCAACUUUGGGGCACUACAGGUCAACGGUGGGGAAAUCAAGACCAAAUAUUUGGAAACCAAGGACAACGACUCUGGCACCACGAUCGCCUUCCCAGAACUCAAGGUCAACAAAAUUCCUACCGACCCCGUUACUAACAGUUUUGGAAAAAAUCUGAAAUAAUGUUGGGGAUGAAAUCCAUGAGUAAUAUACAGCAAACAAGCUUUAAGGAUGGAUGACCGUAUAAUGAAAUAUAACACAUUCAUACACAUAUAGACCUUUCAUCAAAUUGA